UCCCUGGAGGACUAGUGGUUAGACCACGGUGCUCUCACCACCGCGGCCUGGGCUCGAAUCCCAGCCAGAGAA
rnacentral:tRNA from 1 species